UUUCCCUGUUACUUCAUAGCAGCCUGGUGUCAAAAUGUCUGCAGCACGGACAGAUGGGAGGACAGACAGAAACACCAGCUGUUACUCAGCUGGGUACCAAAUUUCCAAUGGCAUGGCCUAAAGCAGAAAGUGUUGGCAGGACCAGUUUUUGAGUGCCCAGUGAUCAUGGCCCAGAUUUAUUCUAUGUAAAUUGCACCAUGUUCUUCAGGAUGCCUUACUAGAGAGGAAUAUGCACAUUCUAGCUGAGGGAUGAAUCACUCUAAAAAUUCUUAUAUUUCUAUGCUAAAUGCACUUAAAGUAGAUUCCUUACACAGAUGUGAUUCAUCUGGGUUGAUAACUUUUUCUUAGAGCAGUUAUUGCUCCAGAAAUGGUUCGUGCCUUUUUUUUUUUUUUUUUUGGUGGCAUUUUUUAUCAUUGUUAAAUCUUUCUUUUCUUUUGCUCUUGCUAUCUAACUAUAUAUUAUUUAUAUAUUCUUCAGGAGAGACCCUUUGAGAAUAGUUGUUUCCAUCACCCAUAGGGAACCACCAACCAGACUUUUCCUGUCAUCAUUUCCCAUUUCUGAUGCUACUGCUCUGCCAUUUCCACUGCAACCAAGAUAACAGAAGAGAUGGUCAUGUGACAAGUGCAUCAAAUACACUCAGUGCAAGGCCCUGGUCCUCACGGGGGAUUUUAACUACCCUGAUGUCUGGUGGAAGGACAACACAGCAGGGCACAAACAAUCCUGGAAGUUUCUGGAGUGCAUUGAUGACAACUCCCUAACACAGGCAACUGAGGACAUAAUGAGGAAAACAACUCUGCUGAACCUCAUGUCUGCAAAGAGGAAGAACUGAUUGGAGAUGUGAAGGUCAGGGGAAGCUUGUUAUAGUAAAACUAGGUAGCUGGCCAUGGCCCUGAUCAAGGUGAUCUUGCUGUCCCUGCUCUGAGCCAGAGGUCUAGACUAGCUGAUCUCCAGAAGUCUUUUCCAACCCCAGUGAUUCUGUGAUCUUUAGCCUUAGGAUAACACUUCUCCCAAGCUCUCUUUCCUAUAAAAUUCUGGGAACUAUCUAAAACACAACAUGUACUGUUCCAGUCCUGUCUUGAAAAUUACAGGGAUAAUUCUCAGGAGUUAUUUCAACAUUUGUAAAAUGUAGUUUAAUCUGUCAAUGACAGUAUAUUUUAUAGGUCUGUCAGAAUAAAUGUAGUCAAAUAUGUUGUCUUAAUAACUCCAAUAAAAACCUCCACAAAACCAAAUAUGACCAGAGAAGAAAAUCAGACAGUAACCAACAGUUCUAAAGGAUUCAAGGAAAUAAAGACAUCAUCUGAUCCA